rnacentral:rRNA from 1 species
GCCAGACUCCUACGGGAGGCAGCAGUGGGGAAUAUUGCACAAUGGGGGAAACCCUGAUGCAGCGACGCCGCGUGAGCGAUGAAGUAUUUCGGUAUGUAAAGCUCUAUCAGCAGGGAAGAAGAUGACGGUACCUGACUAAGAAGCCCCGGCUAACUACGUGCCAGCAGCCGCGGUAAUACGUAGGGGGCAAGCGUUAUCCGGAUUUACUGGGUGUAAAGGGAGCGUAGGCGGCGAUGCAAGCCAGAUGUGAAAGCCCGGGGCUCAACCUGUGGCCUGCAUUUGAAACUGUUUUUCUUGAGUACUGGAGAGGCAGGCGGAAUUCCUAGUGUAGCGGUGAAAUGCGUAGAUAUUAGGAGGAACACCAGUGGCGAAGGCGGUCUGCUGGACAGCAACUGACGCUGAGGCGCGAAAGCGUGGGGAGCAAACAGGAUUAGAUACCCUUGUAC